AAAUGGCUUUGAAGAUGGCUACUCCUGUGAUCCUAAAGAUCAUAUUGACUGAUGGCAGCUCUCAGAGGUUGACUCUCUCCCAUGGACUCCCUGAAUCCAUUGAUGACCUUACUGUUGAAGUCAAGAAACAGUGUGAACUUCAGGGCAACUUUAGACUUCAAUUUAUGAAUUUCUUGUUUGGAAACGAGUUCCUUAACCUUACCUCAGUGUCAGAAGUGGAAGACAAAGGUACUCUUAGAGUUAUUGAUAUGUCAAGGCCCACCACUAUGCAACAUGAUGAGAGCUCUACUGUGCUUAAUCCAAUCCUACACCUCCAAGCAUUCAGUCCUUGCUCAGCAACUGACUCUUCAUCCCUGUCAGGUGAACUUGUGGAUACAGAUAUACUGUCAUCAAGCGAGUCUACAAGCUCAUGGUCCUCCUGGCCAGCUGUGUUUCAUGUACCAAAGUUCUCCUAUGAUGCACAGUUAAAACUUCAGGGGGCAGGUUUAGCUUACAUUCAAAAUGGCACUGUACUUAUUCCAGAUCCCAAGUUGAAGUCAGCCAUCCUUGACAGUUUAGUGCAGGAACUUGUGCAGUAUAAAGUCUGUGUCAGUGAUAAGGAGAUGGAACAGGUAGUUCAGAGUCUCAUCAAGAAACAUCCAUGAUUAACUGAGAAGGGGUCCUGCACUGGAUGUGAUGGAUGAAAGACCAGUUUAAAAUAUAAACUGUCUAACUACCACACACAUCUGAGAAAACCGGGCUGCCCAGAAGUAACCGUGAACUCCUUAAAAAACAAACCUGCUGGAAAGCACAGUGCAGCCUUUGGUGUCAAAAAGGCAAAGAGAGCAGAAGUGAAUUUUUGCCUGACAUACCCAUCAGCUGAAACUGAGGAGAGUCUGGAAGCCAUGCAGAAAUCUUUACUCUUAGAUGUAAAGAAGAGGAACAACCAAGAAGUUGUGAAGCUCAGGAUGGAAAAGACUUUUGCGUACAGAAGAAGUUGUUCGUGACGCACCAAUGGUCAAGGAUUUCAUGGCGAGAUGGCCUGCUCUGUUUGAAGUCAGUGAGAUCAACGCUGAAUUCAAGAGAAUCACCACUGUUCCACUUCAGUCCAAGUUCCUGUCUCAGCUGGACCUCCACUCUGACAACCUGAUAAGGCUGUUCCAAAGGAAAGGAGGACAGCUAGGGAUAAGGCUCAAAAAAAUCACUGCACAAAUAGCUAAUUGUGAUGUAGAUGCUGGAUGAGAGUGCAUCAUUAAGGGAGUCUGUGUCUACAUGGGCAAAGAUCCAGAUAACUUUCUACAGGAAUAUGUGAGCAUAGAUCAAAACACCAUCAAUAAGACCAUUGAAGACACCACUGUUGGGAUCUAUGUUUUUAAAGAACAUGCUUCAAGUGAUGAAGCAGAGGACAAUGGCAUUGUUCUUGAAGACAUCAAGGUGUUACAAGAUCUUGAUAAUGUAGCAUUAGCUGUUGCUAUGCUGUUUGGACUGAUGUAUGCACUGAACCUCAGCUACCCUGCUGACCUCCACUACACUUUUGGGGUAAUCCAAAAGAUUUGGAUGGAACUGGAUGGAGGUAAACUUUCCAACAAAGCACUUGCUCUGAAAAACACUCAGUCAACGGCUCAGACUGAUUUCUGUUGUGUAUCCACUUUUUCAUUUCUCAGUGAUGAGUUUAUGUAGGGUUGAUUACUUUUUGUUUGUAAAGCCACUUUGAUUUGUCAAAGUUGUUAGCUAUGUAAAAUGGUGCAAUAUAUAUAUAUAUGGCGGCACGGUGGUGUAGUGGUUAGCGCUGUCGCCUCACAGCA